GUUGCUAGACCUCAUAAAAUGUUUUAUAUAUGCUUGCUGAAAUCCUGGUAAGCCUGUUGAAAAGAUUUAACUGGACCGUAGAAUUUGCAGCACAUGAAGAAGGCUACUACAAUGAAGAGAGUUGUUUCGGUAACCAAUUAUAAAAGCAAAACGUACGUUCAAUGUUAAGUCAUCCCUACCAUGCGAUUUACUCUGAACAAAAACGAUUAGCAGAUUAAUCAACAGACGCAAUGUAAAGUUAAAAAAAAAAAAAAAAAACGUUCAGCCUGUCAUACGUUUUGGACAAUUAACCGUUGGAGCACGUACGAUAAAGAAAAACACACACCUGGGAACACAAAACAGAGGCCUCUUAGAUCCUCUGACCAAUUGCUCCUGUCUGUUCCUCGGUCCCGGUUUAAAACCAAGGGCGACCGUGCCUUCUCCAAUGCUGCCCCAAGGCUUUGGAAUAGUCUACCAUUUUCUAUUAGGUCUUCCCCCUCCACUGACUCUUCUAAAUCCCGUAUUAAGACACCUUUUUACAUUGGGUCUUAAUGCUUGGCAUGUUGUCUUUGUGUAUUGUAUUUUAUACCUUUUUAUUUAAUUUAUUUUAUGCAUUUUUAUUUUCCUUGUACAGCACUUUGGUUAACUUCUGUUGUUUUUAAAUGUGCUUUAUAAAUAAACUGACUUGACUUGA